UAGAAUGAAACGUUACUAGUGGGCCAUUUUGGUAAGCAGAACUGGCGAUGCGGGAUGAACCGAACGCGAGGUUAAGGUGCCGGAAUGCACGCUCAUCAGACACCACAAAAGGUGUUAGUUCAUCUAGACAGCCCGACGGUGGCCAUGGAAGUCGGAAUCCGCUAAGGAGUGUGUAACAACUCACGGGCCGAAUGAACUAGCCCUGAAAAUGGAUGGCGCUCAAGCGUGCUACCCAUACCUCGCCGUCGGGGUAGAAACGAUGCCCCGACGAGUAGGCAGGCGUGGGGGUCCGUGACGAAGCCUUGGGAGUGAUCCCGGGUCGAACGGCCCCUAGUGCAGAUCUUGGUGGUAGUAGCAAAUACUCAAAUGAGAACUUUGAGGACUGAAGUGGGGAAAGGUUCCAUGUGAACAGCAGUUGGACAUGGGUGAGUCGAUCCUAAGACAUAGGGUAGUUCCGUUUGAAAGUGCGCCCUCGUGCGCCGUCCGUCGAAAGGGAAGCCGGUUAAUAUUCCGGCACCUGGAUGUGGAUUCUCCACGGCAACGUAACUGAACGCGGAGACAUCGGCGGGGGUCCUGGGAAGAGUUCUCUUUUCUUCUUGACAGCCUAUCACCCUGAAAUCGGUUUGUCCGGAGCUAGGGUUCCACGGCUGGCAGAGCUCGGCACCUUUGCCGGGUCCGGUGCGCCCCCGACGAUCCUUGAAAAUCCGCGGGAAGGAAUAGUUUUCACGCCAGGUCGUACUCAUAACCGCAGCAGGUCUCCAAGGUGAACAGCCUCUAGUUGAUAGAACAAUGUAGAUAAGGGAAGUCGGCAAAAUGGAUCCGUAACUUCGGGAUAAGGAUUGGCUCUAAGGGUCGGGCACGUUGGGCCUUGGGGGGAAGCCCCUGGAGCAGGUGGGCACUAGCCGGGCAACCGGCCGGCGCCC
rnacentral:ncRNA from 1 species